UCAGAAGGAGAGUGGUAAUCCGAUUCUCCGUGCCAGCAAUGACGUCGAUUCGGUUGAAAAUGAUUGGCGCACUUUCUAGAAGCAAAUAUUUUGAGGGCAUUUUUUGAUUUUUUUUAAAAUGACCGUCAUCCAUUUCGGCGGUCAAAAACAAAGCAAAUCUAGAAAUUGCCUUUGCUCGCACUUCGUAAUUUUCUCACUGUGCUCGUAAUUAGACGUCCAUGCCACACCACCUUAAAGAAAUUUGAUCCGAGGUAGCUUAUUUAAUGUCAUUCUAUUAACUCAAAUUUUUUGAGCCAUCGGAUCUCGAGACUCCCGACUCAUCCAUCCGGAAGAACUUAGCUGCCGUGAGCUUUUUGGAAAUACUACACCUCAGGGGUAAAAGAUUUUGAAGAUGGCUGCUGGUUAUAAUGGAAAAAUUAUACUUAAAAAUGAAGAAGCCAUCUCAGAUGGGCAUAGAGUGCUGAUUGAUUUUGAGGUGGAUAACCUAGCAGCAAAAGAAACGUUUGAUCUGAAACAGGAUCACAUUACCAGAUGCGAAGUAUUACCAACAUCGUGGAAAUUUCGAAUGAUGUUUCGACGAGUUUCGGCCAAUGGGAUUGUUAACAUUCCUGUAUCUUUAAAGAGAUUCGAUUCCAUGCCUUACCAAGUGAAUGCUUCAAUUAGUGUGUUACUUUCUGAUGGCAGAAACCAGUCUUUUUUUGGCGGCCCAAGAAACUUUAUUAAGCCUAAAAUGGGAUCCGGUGAUGAAUUACUUGGAUACGUAAAUGGAAUUCUACAAUUUCCGCAACACAUAGCUUUGUUUAAUGAAAUGUUAAUUGUUCAUGUCGUUAUCGAAUUUCGUUAUUGUCAUUCAGCGUAACAACACGAAGCAAAAUAUACAACUGGAAAUAACUGAAUUAUAUUUUUCCAAUUAACUUAAGAUUUCCUCAUUUUUUUGCCAUUGUUCAUUGAUAGCUUAUGACAAGCUUUGCGUAUACUUGUAACACAUGACAAUUUGUUUUACUCGAGUGUGAAUCUCUUGCUAUGUGUUCACUUAGUAGGUAUUUGUUGAAAUAAAAGUAACAAAAUAAAAUGGGAAUGCCAACUCUUGAGAAAUUUUCAUAUUUAUGCAUGAUUAAGAAAGAAUAUCUAUUUCUUUGCAGCUUUUUUUAAUGCUUUUUUAAUGUUUGUUUGAUGUUAUGGAUCUGUGUUUUGUAAUAUCAAUAAAUCAUGGCAUAUUUCAUCUAGUA